rnacentral:rRNA from 1 species
ACGAACGCUGGCGGCACGCUUAACACAUGCAAGUCGAACGAGAGAAGAGAAGCUUGCUUUUCUGAUCUAGUGGCGGACGGGUGAGUAACACGUGAGCAAUCUGCCUUUCAGAGGGGGAUACCGAUUGGAAACGAUCGUUAAUACCGCAUAACAUAAUUGAACCGCAUGAUUUGAUUAUCAAAGAUUUAUCGCUGAAAGAUGAGCUCGCGUCUGAUUAGCUAGUUGGUAAGGUAACGGCUUACCAAGGCGACGAUCAGUAGCCGGACUGAGAGGUUGAUCGGCCACAUUGGGACUGAGACACGGCCCAGACUCCUACGGGAGGCAGCAGUGGGGAAUAUUGCACAAUGGAGGAAACUCUGAUGCAGCGAUGCCGCGUGAGGGAAGAAGGUUUUAGGAUUGUAAACCUCUGUCUUUGGGGACGAAAAAUGACGGUACCCAAGGAGGAAGCUCCGGCUAACUACGUGCCAGCAGCCGCGGUAAUACGUAGGGAGCGAGCGUUGUCCGGAAUUACUGGGUGUAAAGGGAGCGUAGGCGGGAUCGCAAGUCAGAUGUGAAAACUAUGGGCUUAACCCAUAAACUGCAUUUGAAACUGUGGUUCUUGAGUGAAGUAGAGGUAAGCGGAAUUCCUAGUGUAGCGGUGAAAUGCGUAGAUAUUAGGAGGAACAUCAGUGGCGAAGGCGGCUUACUGGGCUUUAACUGACGCUGAGGCUCGAAAGCGUGGGGAGCAAACAGGAUUAGAUACCCUGGUAGUCCACGCCGUAAACGAUGAUUACUAGGUGUGGGGGGACUGACCCCUUCCGUGCCGCAGCAAACGCAAUAAGUAAUCCACCUGGGGAGUACGACCGCAAGGUUGAAACUCAAAGGAAUUGACGGGGGCCCGCACAAGCAGUGGAGUAUGUGGAUUAAUUCGAAGCAACGCGAAGAACCUUACCAGGUCUUGACAUCGUAUGCAUAGCUCAGAGAUGAGUGAAAUCUCUUCGGAGACAUAUAGACAGGUGGUGCAUGGUUGUCGUCAGCUCGUGUCGUGAGAUGUUGGGUUAAGUCCCGCAACGAGCGCAACCCUUACUGUUAGUUGCUACGCAAGAGCACUCUAGCAGGACUGCCGUUGACAAAACGGAGGAAGGUGGGGAUGACGUCAAAUCAUCAUGCCCCUUAUGACCUGGGCCUCACACGUACUACAAUGGCUGUCAACAGAGGGAAGCAAAGCCGCGAGGUGGAGCGAACCCCUAAAAGCAGUCUUAGUUCGGAUUGUAGGCUGCAACCCGCCUACAUGAAGUCGGAAUUGCUAGUAAUCGCAGAUCAGCAUGCUGCGGUGAAUACGUUCCCGGGCCUUGUACACACCGCCCGUCACGCCAUGGGAGUCGGUAACACCCGAAGCCUGUAGUCUAACCGCAAGGAGGACGCAGUCGAAGGUGGGAUUGAUGACUGGGGUG